GCGGGCGUAGCUCAAUUGGUUAGAGCGCCAGAUUGUGAUUCUGGAGGUCGCGGGUUCGACUCCCGUCGCUCGCCCCA
rnacentral:tRNA from 1 species